CCACGCCAACGGCCACGCCGGGGGAGGGGGCGGCCCCGCGGCUGCCCCCGGGGGAAGGGGGGAGCCCUCCGCCCCCCCAGCUACGCAGCGAGUAACGAGCGGCGGCAGCCGCCGCCGCAGCGCUCUAAAGGGUUGUGGUUUUCUCUCUCCCUCCCUCCCCCUUUCCUGAGAUAAAAAUCUCAGGACAGCGGAGGCCGUAGCGUUGACGAGGCUAUUAAGAUGGUAUUUAUGGGGUAAUCGCUUAUUUUAACUGCCAGCCGCAUAAAAUUUAUCCUGAGGGGAGAGAAAAGAGAAAAAAAAAGAAAGACUCGUGGAAUUUUAUUAUUAUCAUUUACACUUAAAAAAAAAAAAAACUGUUUAACAAAUGGAAUUGGCGGUGCCUCCUGCCAGCGGUGGGUCAGGAGGGCUGGCGAGGGCGAGCUGGAGGGUGGCUGGUCAUCGGCGUUUCCUGGGGGGAGGCCCCACUGCCAGGGAGGGGCUCCCCCACGAGGCUGGGGAGCGGGGGCCCCCCAAAACCCAAAGGAGGAGACUCUGGUUUGGGGAGCGAUGUGGCAGGUCCACACUUGAGUGCCACCUGUGAGCAGCUCUGGUCUACAGCUGAGGGCUUGGGCCCAAAACCUAGAGGGAGCAAGCAGAGGUGGGGACACACAGGUGAGCAGGGCUCGAAGGGCAUCCCUCUCCCCAGAAAACACCACCGUGACCAGGCGAUUUGCUCUGUUUCUUUCAGCUGUUUCUCAUCUCCGUGUGCACGCUUGCUCCCAGUGCCACCUGAUCUCUCACCCAACCUUCACGUCGCAGGGAAUGGGAAAUGCAUUAGGUCAGUGAUACCUAGGAACAGCGUUUCUGUGCAGUAGAUCUGAGUGAGCAGAGGAAACCUGUGGUGAAAGAAAGCAGGUCUCUCCUGCCGUUUCCCUCCUCGAGUGCUUGGCCAUUCCUGCUGGUAUGGUAGACAGCCUGGGAGUGUAUUCUGUGUGGGGUUUGGUUUGGCCCGUUUUUCGCAAAUUUUGCCCUAAAGAUGUCUUCAGCUCUGCUGAUGUGAAUCGCAGACUUGCCCAAAGGCAGCUCUUCCAGCCAGCCCUGGGAGCCCAAUACUCAAACACGUGAGUGUUCAACAUACUGCGAAGCACUUGGGUAGUUUUGCAGCACAGGUCCUGUCACGUGCAUCAUUCCUGACACUGGGAAUACAGAGAAACCACCAGUGAAAGCAAUUGUGUGGGGGUUUUUUCCCCUGCAAAAUUAACGUGUGCUGGUUGUCAGAGCACCGUGUGCACGUCCCCAGGUGCAGCCCCUUCUCUGAAACCUUCCCCGAGGUCCUGCGAGGGACACAGACUGCUGCUCACUCCUGCGCUCAGAGAAAAUGGCAGGCACACAAAAUGACUUUUUGCCUCCUUUUCAAUUUAGUAGCCUCUUGGUGCUACUCCAGUAAUUACACCAGUAUGUGUCUUUGUAAGCUUUUUUUAUUAUCCCUGGUAUUCCCCGUGGCAAACAACCAAGGAAAACGUCAAUUUUCUAAAAUCGCCCUGGCUUAAGCUGGCCUCUGGUGAUGUAGUGUGGCCAUCCCUAAAGUGUACAGUGUAUAACUAUAAUCAAAAUAGGAUUAUUUCUUGUUUCCAGAACAAUUUCUUUAGCAGUAGUAAGAAAGAGACUGUAGGAAAGAAACUAUAGCACUGAGCUCCUAUUUUUUCUGUGGAUACAGGAAAGCAUUUUUUGAGGGUCUAUUAUAAAAAGUGUACUGGUAAAAUGCUUAUUUAACAAAACUUUACGUCUGCUACCUGGCUGCUGCCAGCAGAAAAAAACAUAUUCUCAGCCUUGAUGUUUCUACCAGUAGUUUGGCAUCUGCGAUGAGAACAGUAU
rnacentral:lncRNA from 1 species